GGUCCUGCGACCUAUCAGGUAGUUGGUAGGGUAAUGGCCUACCAAGCCUAUGACGGGUAGCUGGCCUGAGAGGGUGUACAGCCAGAGGGGCACUGAGAUACGGGCCCCACUCCUACGGGAGGCAGCAAUCAGGAAUAGUCGGCAAUGGGCGAAAGCCUGACCGCGCGACGCCGCGUGCGGGAAGAAGCUCUUCGGAGUGUAAACCGCUGUGGUAGAGGAAGAAGCCCCGCGAAAUCGGGAUUGACGGUACUCUACAAGAAAGGGGCCGCUAACUGCGUGCCAGAAGCGUCGGUAAGACGUGGGCCCCAAACGUUAUCCGGUUUUACUGGGCGUAAAGGGUCGUGUAGGCGGUCCGAUGAGUCUCUGUUUAAAUACUACAGCUUAACUGUAGGAAAGGCAAAGAUACUAUCGGACUUGAGUUUUCUUAAGGGAGACUGGAACUUAGGGAGGAGUAGUGAAAUGCGUUGAUACCCUAGGGAACACCAGUGGCGAAGGCGAGUCUCUGGAAGAUAACUGACGCUGAGACACGAAAGCUAGGGGAGCGAAGCAGAUUAGAGACCUGCGUAGUCCUAGCCCUAAACGAAUGCUUGCUAGCUGCAUCCCUCCCGAUUCAUCGGGAUGGGUGUGGCGGAAGGAAAACCGUUAAGCAAGCCGCCUGGGGAGUACGGUCGCAAGGCUGAAACUCAAAGGAAUUGGCGGGGAGGCACACAACCAGUGGAACAUGUGGUUCAAUUCGAAACGAACCGAAAAACCUCACCAGGGUUUGACAUCCCGACGUACUAUUUUCUGGAAACAGAGAAAAUUCGCAAGAAGGUCGGGACAGGUACUGCAUGGCUGUCGAAAGCUCGUUCCGUGAGGAGUGCCCUUAAGUGGGACAACGAGCGCAACCCCUAUCCUGUGUUAAAAAUGUCACAGGAGACUGCUCCGCCUUUGGCGGGGAGGAAGGAGGGGCAGACGUCAAGUCAGCAUGGUCCUUAUACCCUGGGCUACACACAUGUUACAAUGGGUAGUAACAACGGGUUUGCUAA
rnacentral:rRNA from 1 species